rnacentral:lncRNA from 1 species
CCAACAAUGAAGCAUAAAUCCAUUCCUAGAGGGUGGGGUCUGCAAGGAGAAGGACAUUGUCAUCUUCAUUAGAUUGUUUAUAUUCAGCUUGGUGUCAGACUACUGUGGUGGACAUUCUUGGGGAAGGUGAUUUGCCACACCACCAGGAACUACAUCUCAUCGUGACUCUGGCCCGCAUCCCACUGAGCAACCCCAACUCCUCAUGGGAGUUCAUGGAAGCCACGGCCACCCAGCAUUGCCACAGCAAGAAGGCUCAGGAGGUGCAUAACUGAUCUGCAGAUGAACCCAGCACCUACUCAGGAGGAACCCAAAUGGAAUCAAGGAGUGGAACAUAAAAAUCGGUUUCUUAUGCCUCUGCACUUCACCUUUCUCCUGUUCAUCCCACUCUGCCAUCAUUGCCUGCUUGCCUCCGAAUUGCCCACGACAGUGCAGUCUGGGCACGGAUCACACCUCCCAUGCAGCGGUGGCUUUGUGAUCUGUCCACCUGGGUAAGCUGAACCACACUUCCCAGAAUUCCCUUCCCGUGUGUUUCCGGUUAGAGUGGAGCACAGAGGAGAAACUUGUGGAAGGUUUGGAGGUGGGAAGUGAAGCAGCAGUCAUUUUACAGCUCACACGAAUUGUGGCUUCUCUGCUGGCUCACCUCAGCAGAGGCAGGAACUGACAUGGGGCCGGGUGCAGUGGCUCACGCCUGUAAUCCCAACACUUUGGAGAGGCCAAGGCAGGUGGA